AUUGUUGUGAAACGAUGGUACGGAUUCCGGCCCAUUUCAUUUUUAAUACUAGUUCCAUAGUUCGUUGCAUCAGGCUUUAUUUCUUCAUCAGCUUGUCUUUUCGAACGGACUGGAAAGUUUAAGAUGCAGUUUUCGUCGUCCGUUGGAGGUGGGACAGCCUUGGCAGGGUUGCGGCCGGCCGCAACUGCUC